rnacentral:rRNA from 1 species
UGGCGGACGGGUGAGUAACGCGUAGGAAUCUACCCAGUAGCGGGGGAUAACUACUCGAAAGAGUGGCUAAUACCGCAUACGCCCUACGGGGGAAAGGGGGGGAUCGCAAGACCUCUCACUAUUAGAGCGGCCGAUAUCGGAUUAGCUAGUUGGUGAGGUAAAGGCUCACCAAGGCGACGAUCCGUAGCUGGUUUGAGAGGACGACCAGCCACACUGGGACUGAGACACGGCCCAGACUCC